CUCAUCUCCAACUUCAAGCAGGAAGUGCCCCUGUCCAGGGGCGGGGACAGGAGCUCGCCUCGCAGCACACCUCGCUGCACCUUGACGGAGUCCAGGCUUCAGAGACCCCCACAGUGUCUCGCAGCAACGGCUGGUGUAGUUCACCAAGCUCGCCAGAAAUCCACGGCAGCCAGCCCAUUAUCAAAACUUCCUCUUUGGCUGAGUGAGUUGAGCAGAAGGGUCUGGCCCCUAGAAAUCCACCCAAGAUUUCCUCUGCCUUGGGCCCUAGCCAAGGUGAAGAUGACAGCAUCACGCCGAGCUGGAUCUGUGGAGGGCGGAGCAGAUCUUCCACUGUCCUGCAGCAGACUGCAGGUUGACGAGAGUCACCUGGUCUGAGCCAGGGCAUCUUUGUCUUCCUACAGCAGCUCAGCUAUUUGGAG
rnacentral:lncRNA from 1 species